AUUGAACGCUGGCGGCAUGCCUAACACAUGCAAGUCGAACGGUAACGCGGGGGCAACCCUGGCGACGAGUGGCGGACGGGUGAGUAAUACGUAGGAAUCUGCCCAUUUGUGGGGGAUAACCCGGCGAAAGCCGGGCUAAUACCGCAUACGCUCUACGGAGGAAAGCGGGGGAUCGUAAGACCUCGCGCUAAUGGAUGAGCCUACGUCGGAUUAGCUAGUUGGUAGGGUAACGGCCUACCAAGGCGACGAUCCGUAGCUGGUCUGAGAGGACGAUCAGCCACACUGGGACUGAGACACGGCCCAGACUCCUACGGGAGGCAGCAGUGGGGAAUAUUGGACAAUGGGGCAACCCUGAUCCAGCAAUGCCGCGUGUGUGAAGAAGGCCUGCGGGUUGUAAAGCACUUUCAGAAGGGGAAAGAAAAAUACGGAGACUAACACCUCCGAGCUUGACGUUACCCUUAAGAAGAAGCACUGGCUAACUCUGUGCCAGCCGCCGCCGUAA
rnacentral:rRNA from 1 species